AUGCAAGUCGAGGGGAAACGACAUCGAAAGCUUGCUUUUGAUGGGCGUCGACCGGCGCACGGGUGAGUAACGCGUAUCCAACCUGCCCACCACUUGGGGAUAACCUUGCGAAAGUAAGACUAAUACCCAAUGACGUCUCUAGAAGACAUCUGAAAGAGAUUAAAGAUUUAUCGGUGAUGGAUGGGGAUGCGUCUGAUUAGCUUGUUGGCGGGGUAACGGCCCACCAAGGCGACGAUCAGUAGGGGUUCUGAGAGGAAGGUCCCCCACAUUGGAACUGAGACACGGUCCAAACUCCUACGGGAGGCAGCAGUGAGGAAUAUUGGUCAAUGGACGAGAGUCUGAACCAGCCAAGUAGCGUGCAGGAUGACGGCCCUAUGGGUUGUAAACUGCUUUUAUAAGGGAAUAAAGUUAGUCUCGUGAGACUUUUUGCAUGUACCUUAUGAAUAAGGACCGGCUAAUUCCGUGCCAGCAGCCGCGGUAAUACGGAAGGUCCGGGCGUUAUCCGGAUUUAUUGGGUUUAAAGGGAGCGUAGGCCGGAGAUUAAGCGUGUUGUGAAAUGUAGACGCUCAACGUCUGCACUGCAGCGCGAACUGGUUUCCUUGAGUACGCACAAAGUGGGCGGAAUUCGUGGUGUAGCGGUGAAAUGCUUAGAUAUCACGAAGAACUCCGAUUGCGAAGGCAGCUCACUGGAGCGCAACUGACGCUGAAGCUCGAAAGUGCGGGUAUCGAACAGGAUUAGAUACCCUGGUAGUCCGCACGGUAAACGAUGGAUGCCCGCUGUUGGUCUGAAUAGGUCAGCGGCCAAGCGAAAGCAUUAAGCAUCCCACCUGGGGAGUACGCCGGCAACGGUGAAACUCAAAGGAAUUGACGG
rnacentral:rRNA from 1 species